UGCACUGUAGAAAGACAGGAAGUCGUUUAGAAGAGCGUGACAUUAUUUGUACACUGUGACGAACAAAACUGGUGAUGUGCAGCUUGUCAGGCUGCACAACUGGCUCGUGCCGGUCACUCUGCGGUAUGCCUGCUGUGGGCAUGUUGUGAUCUGUGGGGGAAACCGGAGUACCUGGAGGAAACCCACACAUGCAUGGGGAGAACACACAACUCCAUGCAGAAAGGCCACAGCCGAGUUUCGAACCUGCAACCUUCGUGCUGCGAGGCAACAGUGCUAACCACUGCGCCACCAUGCAGCCCAGAGAAUCACCGCCUGCCACAUGAGAGACUAGAAACAUUACCCCUGUCUGCCUCUUGGUUGCCGAUGCCUCUCCUCCGUAUCACUUUGACCUCCCCUUCCUCUGGAGGGGGAACGUGUGCGAGUCCUGGGACUGCUGGAACUUCUGACUCCUAUGGAGGCCCUGCGUU